rnacentral:tRNA from 1 species
CGACCUGGAGGUCCGCCGCGCCUCGCUGGAGGACACGUACAUGACGCUGGUGCGCCGGUUCGAAUCCGGUCAGGUCGA